AGUGGAUGAAAAUACAUUUAUCUGAACAGGGUUCGAACGAAGCCACAAUUAAAGAACAUAUGGCCUCAACAUAUAACUACAGACAGCAUCAAAUUUCUCAAGGACAAUAGACUACUACCCAGAUACUUCUGGAGUAUCCUCGCUUCAGAGAUUGCCAUAAUUUAAUUUUUCGCGAUUUUCUCCUGGCCUUUCCGAAAGCGGGACACUUUGAAGAAACUUUUGUUUGGGGGUACGGACCAUUGAUAAAGAAAAGUGCAGGAAGAUCAAACACUCCAAUUCCAGACACAGAUGACGAAUGCCUACAACUUUUAGUUUUGUUACUGCGGCUGAUUCCGUCUCUGAAAAAAAUACGUGUUGUUAGCCAGAAAUCAAUUAUUGAACGAGUUGUUUACUUCAUAAAGCCAACGACGACAUUUUGUCAAUCAUUGAAGAGAAGCCGCACCUCAAGGAGUCACCCUUUUUGUGCUGCGUAGGAUCGCUUAAGAAUCCGGUUUGUUUCAACAUUGUUUGUGAAGGAGAAGUCAUCUCAAGCGGAACAAGUUCCAUCACAGCUUUCAAAAACCUUUAUGCGUCGUUCCACAUGUUUCGCAUUAAAUACCCUCAACUUCUCAGCACAUUUUAUUAUUUUUUUGACAGCUACGUAUUUAAUGUCCACUCUGGUAAAGUGCGCCCCUCUGUUGCUGAUUUUUUCAUGCAGCUAAAUUCAUAGCAGCCAAAAGUUGUUCUCCUAAUUUGCUCAAUAUUAAGAAAUGACCUUUGUUCGUUUCCCUAUGUCAUGUUUAACAAUUAAAUCUAGCAAUGUUAAUCGUUUUGUCAAACUGUUUCUCGCUGUUUGUACCCGUUUAUCCUACCUUACAUGUUUCCCAAAUCAACAAGGAAAUUUUAGUCGUGAUAUGCCCAAAUACAGUAAGCAAUGUGCUAAUUUCAAACCAAA